ensembl:snRNA LOC120101167 U6 spliceosomal RNA
GUGCUAAAUUCAGCAGCACCCAUACUAAAAUUGGAAUGAAACAGAGAAGAUUAGCAAGGCCCCUGCACAAGAAUGACAUGAAAAUUUGUGGAGCGUUUCAUAUUUUU